rnacentral:lncRNA from 1 species
UGGGUUUGAUCAAAUUCAAGAGUUUAAUUUGAUUGCCAAUUAGAAAGGAUUCUAAUUGCUGAAAUUGGGUUAGCUCAAUUGGACCCAGAUCGAUUAGAUUAAAUUCUAAUCAAAUCAGAUCAACUUACACUCGGAUCCACUAUUGGCUAGAUAUGAAACUCAAUGGAUCAUAUACAAAAAAAAAUUGAUCUGGGGUCUAAUUGGAUUAGAUCA